rnacentral:rRNA from 1 species
UACGGAGGGGGCUAGCGUUGUUCGGAAUUACUGGGCGUAAAGCGCGCGUAGGCGGACCUGCAAGUCGGGGGUGAAAGCCCGAGGCUCAACCUCGGAACUGCCUUCGAUACUGCGGGUCUCGAGUCCGGGAGAGGAGAGUGGAAUUCCUAGUGUAGAGGUGAAAUUCGUAGAUAUUAGGAAGAACACCAGUGGCGAAGGCGGCUCUCUGGACCGGUACUGACGCUGAGAUGCGAAAGCGUGGGGAGCAAACAGG